ACAGCAGUAGCCGCGGGAAUACGUAGGUGGCAAGCGUUGUCCGGAAUUAUUGGGCGUAAAGCGCGCGCAGGCGGAUAGGUCAGUCUGUCUUAAAAGUUCGGGGCUUAACCCCGUGAUGGGAUGGAAACUGCCAAUCUAGAGUAUCGGAGAGGAAAGUGGAAUUCCUAGUGUAGCGGUGAAAUGCGUAGAUAUUAGGAAGAACACCAGUGGCGAAGGCGACUUUCUGGACGAAAACUGACGCUGAGGCGCGAAAGCCAGGGGAGCAAACGGGAUUAGAUACCCCAGUAGUCCCUGUCUCUUAUACA
rnacentral:rRNA from 1 species